UAGGGAAUAUUAGAAAUGGACGAGAGUCUGAUCUAGCAACACCGCGUGUGCGAAGAAGGCCUUCGGGUCGUAAAGCACUUUUUGGAAGGAAUAGGAAGGAAUGUACUUCCAGAAUAAGUCUCGGCUAACUACGUGCCAGCAGCCGCGGUAACACGUAGGAGGCAAACGUUAUCCGGAUUUACUGGGCGUAAAGCGCGUGUAGGUGGUACUGUAAGUAGGGCGUGAAAGCUCCUGGCUCAACUGGGAGAGGCCGUUCUAAACUACAGAACUAGAGGAUGGUGGAGGGAGGUGGAAUUCCGGGUGUAGCGGUGGAAUGCGCAGAUAUCUGGAGGAACACCGGUGGCGAAGGCGGCCUCCUGGACCAUUCCUGACACUCAGACGCGAAAGCUAGGGUAGCAAACGG
rnacentral:rRNA from 1 species